rnacentral:rRNA from 1 species
GACGAACGCUGGCGGCGUGCUUAACACAUGCAAGUCGAGCGGGAAACUUCGGUUUCCAGCGGCGGACGGGUGAGUAACACGUGGGCAACCUGCCUCACAAUGAGGGAUAGCCUUCCGAAAGGAAGAUUAAUACCUCAUAACACAAGAGAAACGCAUGUUUCUUUUGCCAAAGAAUUUCGUUGUGGGAUGGGCCCGCGGCGCAUUAGCUUGUUGGUGAGGUAACGGCUCACCAAGGCUUCGAUGCGUAGCCGACCUGAGAGGGUGAUCGGCCACAUUGGAACUGAGACACGGUCCAGACUCCUACGGGAGGCAGCAGUGGGGAAUAUUGCACAAUGGAGGAAACUCUGAUGCAGCAACGCCGCGUGAGUGAUGAAGGUCUUCGGAUUGUAAAGCUCUGUCUUCUGGGACGAUAAUGACGGUACCAGAGGAGGAAGCCACGGCUAACUACGUGCCAGCCGCCGCUGUAAAAC